ensembl:lncRNA
CCUUGUAGGGGACCCAGCUAGGCACCAGACUCCUGGCCCAUAGAAACUGUGAGAUCAUAAAUGUGGUUGCUCUAAGCUACUAAGUUGUGUUACUUUGUGAUGCAGCAGUAGCUAAUGAACACCCAUUUUACAAGAAGGACACGUGGGAUAUUAACCAUGCUGCUGAGCUCCUAGAGGUAAGAUAGUCAUCAAUGAUGAAGCCACAGCAAACAAAAGUCUGAGCCAAAUAUCAUAAGCAUCAUGAGGGCUCUGGGAGGGAGAUUUAAAGUCUGAGUGAGGCAAGAUCAUGAAGACAGCACCCUCAUCAGGAAUGUAGUUGGAGAAAGAGGGGCUACAAUAGCCCUUUUGUAAGUUUAACUGCCUCCCUGCAACCUCACAGGUACAGUCUUACGGUGAAAAUCUAGAGAAAUUCUGCAGCCUUUGGGGCGUUAUUCAUACAGGGCAAAAAUUCUCAAAUAGAUUAGAAUCCUGGUUGAGGCAUCUGCAAACACAACAAAAAGCACUCAGUCUCAGGGAGUUGAAAGCUGUGCCUGGUUUUGUUCGUCAAAAGCCAUGGAAGGUAUUACAUCACCUUGAGCCAGCAGACCUUGACCUUAGCCUCCCACUGAGCAAUGAGACAGUUUCCCCAGGCCCUGAAUGUGGGAAACACAAAGGAACCCUUCCCACACACAGUGACAUUAGGAUUCCUCAUGGGAUGACAAGGCCUUGCUCCAGGGAUGAUGUUUCCCGCUAUAGGAGAACAUCUACUGCCUUUGAUGAGCUGAGUCUACAGGGCUAUUGAAGCUGAGAAAAACUAGUGUGUGACAUGGAAUCUGGGAGGCUUAUCUGACAGAAAACAGGGCCAGAGACUGUCCACAUUGACCAGUCCUAUUCCACUGUGGACUUUUGAGCCUGAGCAUCCUUCUAUUAUACUUCUUUGUCAAUAAAUGCACUACUAUGCACCCAUUACCUUCUGGGCUCUUAUCUUCUUGUUUCCUAACCCUCCUAUACAUAAAUAAAUUUAAUAGACCCAAGUAUUUACACAGGUAAGAGAAGCUGAGAUCCCAAGAGGAUUUUGUUUUAGUCCUAAAAUCCUAAGGCAAAGAGACACCAAGGAUCCAGCUCUCUUUGUGAGAUGAGGAAGAAGAUAACUCAAACAUGCUAAUAUCUCUAAAACUUUAUCCUGCCUUUAGUCUGUUGCAGGUAUAAAGAGUUCAGAGUUCUACUGUUCAUUUUUUCCCUUCCUAUCUAGAAAAUGAAUGUCUUUCUCUCAGUUUUGAUUAUCUUUGGACUUGCUGGGGGAGGUGGGAAUUUGAACAUGUGGGACUAGAUUCUAGAACCAUGGGGAGAUAAGGACAUGGUUUUGGUAGUGGUUAUGAGUAUGGAGCUAUGAUGUGAACUCCAGCUUUAAGGAUUAUGGCCUGGACAUUGACCAAUCAGAUAGGCACCCACGAAAUGAGUGCUGACUGAUACAGAAAUGAUAUUGCUGUACUGCUAAAUACUAGUAGACUAUUAGCGACUAUUAGCCCAGAAAUAUUAUACAUGUUGGGUGAUUUGAUUGAGCUAAUUGGAAUAGCAAUCUAUAACCAAGCCAGGAAAGAUACUGAAAAAAUAUGCCUCUCCCCAAGUCAGAGAUAUUAACAGCAAUAUAAAAUAAUACAUAUUGUGUGUGCAUUUGUAUGAAUAUUAUGUAUAUACUCAUACACAAGUAAAUAUAUACUCAUACAAAAACAAAUAAAAGGCCAGGUGCAGUGGCUCAUGCCUGUAAUCCCAGCACCUUGGGAGGCUGAGGUGGAGGACUGCUUGAGCCCAGGAUUUCGAGACCAGUGUGGGCAACACAGUAAGACCUCAUAUCUACAAAUAAAAACAUUAGCUGGGCAUGGUAGCAUGUACUUGUGGUCCCAGCUACUGGUCCCAUCUGAGGUGGGAGGAUCGCUUGAGCCUGGGAGGUUGAAGCUGUAGUGAGCUAUGAUUGCACUGCUGCACUCCAGCCUGAGUGACAGAGCAAGACCUCAUCUCAAAAAAAAUCCCAAAUAUAUGUAUACAUGUAUAUAUAUGUACACACACACACACACACACACACACACACCUGUAUCCAUCCAAAGGUAAAUAACAAAUAAUAUGUUGACAUGGCAAUUUUAAAUCUACGCUUCAGAGAUAUGUCAACCAAAAAGAGAGGGAGCUAAGGUUUUGAUCCACCAACUCCAGUCAGCUACUAAUAGGAAGUUGCUCUGGGAACAUUAAUUCUCUGGCACUUGCAUCCUGUCCCAUGAAUGUGCAAGUGAAUGGGCUCUCUUGACCAGAGAAAGCCCUUAGGCAAAGAGACACAGUAGCUCACAGUUGGAAGCCUUUGGGUCUCUUGGCAUGGAAAUGGGGAGUGCUUAGGAAACAUGGGCAGGCCAACACUGUCAGUGUCUGCUGCAGGAGCCAGCUGCUCCAGGCUGUCUGCCUCGAUUCAAGUCCAAUGGAUGGAAGAAGACCCUCCCUUUCUAAUAAUUCUAAUUAGUCUGACCAAAGUUCUGGAAUGUAAAUCUUAUAGCCUCCAGUAGGUUCCAGUUUCAUUGCUGUGGUUAGUCAAGCUUGGGCAUGUGACGCCAGCCAAACCACACGAGUAAUUUUUUGUACAUUUCAAAAUAGCUAGAAGAGAAGAACUGUAAUGUUUCCAAUACAAAGAAAAGAUAAAUGUUCAAGGUGACUGAUAUCCUAGUGACCCUGAUUUGAUCAUUAAAUAUUAGAUACACGCAUCAAAAUAAAAC